GAACUGAAAUCAAGAAUUGAUAGUAUUGUGGUUUCAGAGUACACAAAAAGCCCUUUUGUGGAAAUGUGAGCAUUUCCCCACAGUUCUUCUGAAGGUCAAACACAAAGCAGAAGAGACAUACGAAAGUGAAGCUUGCAUGUAGAUUGCUGCUGAGCAUGAAAUUCUGCAGAGCGUCUGCCUACGUGCACUGUCCUUGUCCUUUACCUUUAGGUUGUGCUACUGAACUCUCCAGGCAGCUCUGAGCUCGUGUGAAGCUCUGAGAGUAUCCUGGAGGCUGCUUCUGUCUAAGGAUUUCGGAGCUGCUCUUGCAUUUGGGUCACUCCAGAAGGUCACAGAGGUCCGGGCUGGGCAAGGACAUGCAAUGUGCUGUAACUCUGGACUGUAGAAAUGGAGAAUUGCAUGCAGCAGGGAACUGCAACCAUUUUCCUGAAGUGCAUCACAGCUCAACUCAGAGAUUGUCUCCUAGUCCCUCUCCCCUUCUCUACACAACUGGGCAGAACAUCUCCCAUCACGCUGGUGUUUUUAAUAUUACCUGGGCAACUGGAACCUUGCUUUACAUUGGAUUACAUUGUAUUUUUAGUUUAUUUUAAUGCAAUUUAGCAGCUAGAAACAAAGAGGAAAUUUAAUAUCAGUCAGACCUCUGCAGACUGCUAGUAAGUACUCCAUGGACCACAGCAUGGGAGACGCAUUAAUAUUGCAUUUACUGUAUAUCAUGCCUUGUGUCUGAGAAUUUAAAAUCCCUUUGCAUGCAGUUAAACUAAUCACUUCUCAUUUCACUAAAGAAUAUCACUUUGAUCACAGCUGAUUCGCAAUUAAGUGCUGAACCUAAAUGAGUGGAUGGGGCUGACCUAGGCAAAAGACUUGAAAAGCAAGGAGGGAAGCCCAGCAAACAGGAGUUUGUGUGGAAGUUGUCCUUGGUGAGAAAAAAAAAGAAGUCCUUGUUCCUGGGAGGCAAAGGAAAGAAGAUAAUGAUGGUGAUGGAGGUAGUAGUGCAAGUGAACCCAAGCAUGGAAGAGAGCGAAGAAGCAAAAACCUGGAGGAUGUACAUUAUCCUUGUGCAGGAACCUGAUGGAGGAGGAAACAAAAAGGCAAAAGCCACGAGGGAAGGUUUAACUGUGGAUCACUCGGCUCUCAGCAGGUGGCCUUGCCAAACAUGAAGAUCUCGUUCUGAAGAAUGUGAGAGAAGUGGAUUCUGCUUGUGAGCAUCUCAUAGCCUCUUUAAAUCAAGUGUUUCUUGUGUCAGCUACCCACCACGUCAAGGAAUCGGACAUAAGCAGCAUUCUUUCCCAGACUGGAAAUCUAUGUUCUCUGCUCCCUCUCUCGGGGUGAGCCAUGGCUUUUUCAAAAAGCAUCUCCUCUGAGCAAGAGGUUCAUCUUCAUGGUCUAUGAAGAGAAAGUAUAAUUGCUUUGGAGGGCUCUGCACAUCUCCAAGGCCUGGUCCCAACAUUAAUGAUUAGAGGAAGGAUUCCCUGUGAUGUCCACUUAAAACAUGCACUGCUGAGACCAUCGCAGGGGAGCAGUGUGAAAAGGGAUAGGACAGACCUAUCUAGUCUUGUUACUGCAAGGAAAAGCUGCUCACCUG